rfam:Cricetulus griseus cell line CHO-K1, whole genome shotgun sequence.
UUAAAGGCUCUUCUUAGAGCCACCCAUCUUCCAGGAAAAAAGCUGU